CAAUAGCGUAUAUUAACGUUGUUGCAGUUAAAAAGCUCGUAGUUGGAUUUCUGGAGGGAGCGUCGGCCCGUAUUUACGAGUGCGUGACGUCUCUGUCCAUCCUUGCGGGAAAGCACGGCAUUGAUUUGUUGUGUCGGAUCGCAUCAUUUACUGUGAAAAAAUUAGAGUGUUCAAAGCAGGCUUUCGCUUGAAUACAUUAGCAUGGAAUAAUAAGAUAGGACUUUGGUGCUAUUUUGUUGGUUGAGCCUAAAGUAAUGAUUAAUAGGGAUAGUUGGGGGCACCUGUAUUGCGUUGUCAGAGGUGAAAUUCUUGGAUUUACGCAAGACAAACAGCUGCGAAAGCGUCUGCCAAGGAUGUUUUCAUUAA
rnacentral:rRNA from 1 species